rnacentral:rRNA from 1 species
AUGCCUCUUCGCGAUGGUGCGGUCGACUUUACGGCAUGGCACUUCGACUCCAAGGGUGUUUUCUCGGUCAGGCAAGCAUAUAAAUUGAAAAGAGCCCUGUCGAAAGCUGGAGAUGGAGGUGCUGGAGACCCCCAAGCUGAGGCUGGCAACCUGAAUGGGGGUGGGCAGGAGAAGUGGAAAAGAAUUUGGCGCAUGUCUUGUCCGGGGAAAAUCAAACACUUCAUGUGGAGGAUGACGCACAAUACCCUAGCAACCAAGGAUAUAUUAUGCAGAAGGGGCAUGACCAUUGAGGAUCACAAAUGCUUCCUGUGCAACUCUAGGAACGAAACGGGCAAACACCUCUUUGUGGAGUGCCGGGAGAUCAAGCACGUAUGGAGGGCUCUUAGCCUUGAGCAUGUCCGGCAGCAGCUAGUAGAGUGCGAGUCAGUGGGGGCGGCAAUGGACAUCCUCUGGCAUCUCACAGAGAAAGACCGAAUGUUGGUGGUUGUCAUGUGGUGGCAAUGGUGGUCGCAGCGAAACAAAGUGCGAGAAGGGGAGAAACCGAUGGAUCAUAGCCAGUUCGCAUGUAGGGCUGCAUGCACGAUGGAGGAAUUUCAGGGCUAUUUCAGCAAAAAUGCCAAACCCCAUGCAACACUCCAGCGUUGGCUCCCACCGCCUGUCGACGUACUCAAGCUCAAUGUCGAUGGAGCCCACAUCCCAGGCGCGCAGUCAGGUGCGUGA